AAUCACGACAUAAUUAGGGUCGAUGUAUCUGAAAAUUAAAAGUAAUUUAAGCGCUAAAAGAGUGUAAUGAUCGAGGGAGCAUUACAUAUAGCAAAGUGGAUCAUGGAACAAAGUUGUGAAUUGAAGACACCAAUCUGAUUCUGAUUCUGAUUCUUCAAGGUUUGGUGGCAGCCAAGGUGUUUGCAAUAUCAAUGACAAAUCGAUACCGAACAUCAGCCUUGGCAAGCCGCUCCAUUGCCGUAUUGACAUAAUCCAUCGAAAUAACCUCAAUGUCAGCUGUUAUAUUGUGUUUUGCUGCAAAAUCAAUCAUCUCUUGCGUCUCUUUCAUUCCCCCAAUGCUGCUCCCUGACACCGUCUUCCUCCCUGCUAUGUCAUUUUAUGUUAUCAAAUGACUUAUAUUAAUUACAAGUUUUAGACCACAAGUUUCCGAAGAAUUUUGUUAGAACUUACCCAUAAUUAAGGAAAUCACAGGUAGCUCGAGUGGCUUGUCCGGAGCACCAACCAGAACAAGCUUGCCCUGGGACUUUAAUAGACCGAGCAAUGGCAAAAUGGGGUGCACAGCGGACACCGUGUCAAUAAUACCAUCCAAUGUGCCCAUGGCACCCUGAUGAAGUUAUUACAAAAUAUAUAUUAAAAUUAAGGAAUGCAUUUUAUUUUUUAUUUUUCUCCAAUAUAUGCGUGAAUCUAAUUAAAUUACCUGCAAUUGGUCAGGGUCACGGCUAUUCAAAAAUGAAUCAGCGCCAAGAUGUUCAAGAGCUUCAGUCUUCUUGCUUGGAGAGGUGCUAAUUACUGUCACUUUGGCCCCAAAAGCCUUGGCAAAUUUGACAGCGACAUGACCAAGCCCGCCAAGGCCAACGAUGCCUACAUGCUUUCCUUGUUCUGCUAGUUCAAAGUAUUUCAAUGGACUGUACACGGUAAUCCCGGCGCAAAGCAGGGGAGCAGCAGCAUCAAGGGGCAUGCUAUCAGGGAAUCGAACAAUGUAGCGCUCAUUGGCAACCAUGUGAUCAGAGUAGCCUCCGUAUGUGAUUGUUCCGUCAGUGUUAAUGGAAGUGUAGGUGGGUAUCACUUUCGGACAGUAAUUUUCAAGGUCAUUGGCACAGCUCUCGCAGCUGUGGCAUGCACCAACCAUGCAUCCAACUCCAACUUUAUCUCCCACUUUAACCUUUCUUACUUUGCUACCAACUUCUGUCACUUCCCCUGCAAUUUCAUGCCUGCAAAUAAAUACAAUUUGUUUAUGAUAAAUUACUUUAGUGGAAACAAGGUAUUUGAUUCUGUUUUUGACAAUAUAUAACUAGCUAGCUUCUGGAAACGUAUAUACUACACCACUCCACCAACUUUUCUUUUGUCAGUAAGUUUCUCAAUCAUAAAAUUCUUCAAGCAAAGAAAUUUGAAAUUUGAAAAUUUACAAGUCUUCAUUUGAAUGCAAAUUCAAGUUACAAGUCAUGUCUCCGUUUAUUUGUCAACCUCGUCUAUCCCUCAAGUAAAAUCUCAUAAUUGACCAUUCCGCAAUUACACAGGUGUACCAUUUUGAUGGGUUAAGUCUUUAGUGUGAUCUCAACACUCUAAUGAUGCCAAGGCACCCCACUGGCCACUACACUGGAAUAUUUAAAAAUUGUACAGAGUCAAAUGGAAAUAAAUUAAUUUUAUUGGGAAAAAAAAAAGAUAUCUAUGCUAACAACGCUUUAAUUGAGUUAAUUGUUAUUUCCACCCUUUAUUUAUAAGAUAGAGAGUAUAAAUCUACCAAGAGUUAUGAAGAUAAUGUAUAAGAAAAAUACAUAUUUUCAUCCAAUAUAUUUUAUUUUAUAUUACAUUAAAAUUUGUGUGUCUCUAUUUUUGUUUAAUUUGUUGUAAGAAAAUCUUAUUAAACGAUGAUGACCCGUAAAUAUAUAUGUUUGCCACUUUUAACAGGAGAUUCCAGUUAUUCAUCACAUCAAAUAUGGAACGGUAAGAUUAAAACCCUCGUUACCAAUAUUUCACUAGCACCUCUAUAUAAGAUAGAAUUAAAUAGGAUUGGGGACGAUUUGUAUCAAAUUAAAAGAUCCCAAAGCCUUGGCCUUGGUUAAUCUCUUUCUGUAUACACAGGCAAGUACCGUAGUUAAUAAUUAGGGAGCGCCGUGACGGAAACAACAGCCUGUUCAUGCGUAGCUGGGUUUGACCCGAAACAAAAACAAAUGCAAAAAAAAAUGCAAAAGAAACAAAAAUUGAAGGGUAGAUAGAUCAUGGGUACAUACCCAGGAACCAUAGGGAAGAGAGAGAAGCCCCAUUCAUUCUUGAUGUUGUGGAGAUCAGUAUGGCAGAUCCCACAAUACAAUACCUUCAGCCUCACAUCCUCAUCACCCGUUUCCCUGUCCGUAUUUUACAUAUCCACGUUUAUGACCAUUUCAUCAACACGUACAGUAACAAAAUUUUAAAUAAAUUUAAAGCAGCAUCACACAUAUAUAUUAUGCUCAACUAUUAAUUACCUUCUGGAGAAGUUGAAUGGGGAGAGAUGGCCGGAGCUGUCUCGGGCUGCCCACCCAAAGGCCUUUACUGGAUGUUCUUCUUCUGGUGAUUUUGCCAUUUUGGAUGAGAGAACGGCAAUGUUAUCAUUAUUAUAGUGGUUUGAAUGAUGUGAUGAGACGAGUAAAAGUACCAGUUUUUGUUUAUGCUUCAUAUGAAUGUUAAUGUGUGUACAGAUGUUUCUAAUCAAGAUUUUUUAUUAUAUUAAAGAGAAGAUAAAUUAAAAAAUAUAAAUACAAAAUUUAAUAUAAUAUAUUUUAUUUUAUAAUAUAUUCAUUGUUUAGUGAGGUUCACUUAUGUUGCAACUAUAAUAUGGUACCGCAUUUACUUUCAGCAGUCCGAUAUAGCUAACGUAACUGUGUAAUUAUGGAUUUAACAACUGAUUUAGUGAUGAUUUCAAUAUAUUAAGUUAUUAACGGAUAAAAAAAUAUAAUUUUAAUUUUUUAAUACAUUAAAGUCGGUGUUUUUUUUUUAUAUUUUGUUAAUAUCUUCACCUUAAUAAAGUGAAGAUGUCAUAAUCGAGAAAAAUUAUAUAUAAUGAAGACUAAUUAGAUAAUAUUAUAAUUUUUAAAAUAAUUAUUAUUAGAUGUGAUGUAGAAAUAACUGCUGUACCGUACAUCCGCCUUGGCCGUUUUUUAUUGUGUAUAUAUAAUAAUUAUUAAUAAACAUAAUAUAUAUAAUAAUUUUUUAUCUCAAUAUUAUUGAUAAUGAUAAUAAUCUCUUCAAAAUAAUUUUAUUUUAUAAUUAAUAUGAAUAAUUUAAAAUUUUCCUAAUAUAUAUAAAAAAAUCAGUUUUUAACUUUUAAAUUAUUUUCGAGGAUCUCAAAAAUAAUAAUUAUCGGGAACAGGCUAACAGCAGGGAGGUGGAGAGAGGGGGUCAUAAAUUUUGCUAUUUAAAUUUUCCUAAUAUAUAAAAAAAAUCAGUUUUUAACUUUAAAAUUAUUUUCGAGCAUCUCAAAAAUAAUAAUUAUCGGGAACAGGCUGACAGCAGGGAGGUGGAGAGAGGGGGUCAUAAAUUUUGCUGAAGUAAUCAGUGAGCUAACAUGUGACAUACGGAUGCGCUAUGUAUGGGAUGUCCACCGUCAAUGACAUGGCGGACCAGCGAGAUACUUCUUGGGUCAGCUUCACCAUUAUUAUUAUUAUUAUUAUUCAAUUCCUAGUGUCGCAAACUCAAAGGUGGAUACCUGUCAAAAGCAACACCACGAACAACCAUUAUGAGACUUACGGCAAAAUGAGAACCCAGCGCGCUGAUUCGGUGGAAUUAAUGAUCACAAAAAUUUGAUUUUUUUUAAAAAAUAAUUACAAAUAUUUUUUUUGAUAAAUUUUAAAGGCUAAUGUGAAUUUUGUUGUUUUUUUACUUUUUAACAUAAAGAAUAUCAUAAGGUAUUGUAUAACUAUUGUUCAAUAAAAAAUUAAAUUUAUAUAUUUUUAAAAAGAUAAGACCUUAUCUUAAUUUAAAUUCUUUUGAAUUUUUAAAAAUCUUGCAGUUAAAUUCAAAUUAAAUAAAGAUAAAAAUAAAUUUGUGUAAUUAUUUUUAAAAAUAAAAAAUAUUUUUGUGAAUUUUUUUAAACUGGGAGAAUAUUAAUAUUUUUUUAUACUUAAAAUUUAUUUAUUAAACAUCUUGGAAAAAAAUUAAUUAAACUGGGAGAAUAUUGAUAUUUUUUUUCAAAUACCAAUAGAAUCCUAUCAAAGAGCCUUCUAGAAUAACCAGAUGCUGAGUAUUUAUAAUGUACACAUUAACAAUUAUUAUCUUAAAUAAUAAGACGUUUAUCCUCCUAAAUAUGAUAAAAAUAUUACAUUUCAUAGUGUACACAUGGACGGCCUAUCUUCUGGUAGCAGAAUAAAUUGAGAGUACCAGUCUAUCGUUGGAUUUGUAGCCCAAUGAUCAUUUGUGCUGAAACUUAGAUUUUCUUAACCAUCCAAACAAAUGGAACACCGUAUCAAUUUGAUUAAUAUUAUUAAGAUAUAUAUGCAUGCAAAUUAGUCAUGAAAACUCAUCCACAAAAAGUUAGAAAUUUUACCUUAAAAUGAACCGACAAUUUUAAAAGAUGUUCAAAAAUAUUUAUGAAAUGUAAGAAACAUACUCUUCUAAUUGGAUCAUGAUUCUCUCUUAAUAUGAUUUUCUUUUGAGUAAGUUUUAGGGGUGGCAAAACGAAUAAACGAAUCGAAUUCGAAUCGAAUCGUAAAUGAAUUGGGUCAAAAUUCUAUGGAUUCGAAUUCGAUUCGUUUAUUAAAAGAAUUGAAAUUUCAAGAUUCGGAUUCGAUUCGUUUAUUAAACGAAUAUUCGGUUCAAUUCGUUUAAUUCGUUUAAUAGAAUUGAUAAACGAAUCGAAUCGAAUCCGGAUUCGUUUAUUAUUCGUUUAUCCUUUACGAAUCCAUAACGAAUCGAAUCGAAUCAGGAUUCGUUUACAAUUCGUUUAGAAAAAUAUAAUUAAUAAACAAAAUUAAGCAAAAAAAACACAAAUUUAAUAUCCCACAACAAAAUACAAAUAAUUCAAAUCAUAUUAUACAGUCAUCCAAAUAACAAAUACCAAAUCCUUAAUAUUACAAAUAACAAUAAUUCAAAUUGAAAUUAUAAAGAAAUGUAAUUUCUUUAAUUCUUUUCAUUUGUCUUUGUCACCUUGAAAACAAAAAUCCUACACGAAAAAAUAAAUAAAAUGUUAUUAACAUGCUCCAAUAUUGAUAAUAGUCAUUGUAAAAUUUCAAAAAUCAAAUAUAUAGCAAAUUUGUAGCAUUUUCAAGGAAAUAAUAAUUAAACAAGAUAAAAACCUUACCUAACACUGUCAUUUGGAUCAUUUGCACUCUCUACAGAUGGAGCACAAUUAGUGCUCAUGUUCAUAAACUAAUAAAUCAAAGAAAAAGUCUAACAGAGAAAUUAACAUACAUAAUCACUUUCAAGCACCAUUACCAAGACCACGAAUCUAUUCAUCAUGUAUGCCAAAUUCUAACCCGGCAAUAUUCCUAAUGCACAAUAUUCCAAUACACAAAAUAUUAACAAUACAACAUAAUAAAUUAUAAAUUCUAAUACUAAAAAAAAUUUUAAUCCAAUAUUUGUGGGAGCUUCUUCCUUAUCCUACAGAUAAUUUUUAACACCAUAAUCGAUUUAUACAUAAUUUCAUAAUAUUUUCCGAACAAUACAAAACAUUUUAAAUGCAGUGCGUUUAUGUGCGACAGGCACCUGUCCCACUUGCCUGUCUCACUAAAUUUCAUAUAUGUUUCGAAAGCCAUAACUUGAGCUAUAUAUGUUCGUUUUAGGCGUAUAAUAUACCGUUUCGAAGUUUACGACGAGACAAAUCAAAUCCAAAAUCAUGUAUUCCGUAAACGCCGUGAGUUUAUGUGCGAUAAGCAGUGGGACAGGUGCCUAUCGCACAUAAAUGCAGUGCGUUUAUGUGCGACAGGCACCUGUCCCACUUGCCUGUCUCACUAAAUUUCAUAUAUGUUUCGAAAGCCAUAACUUGAGCUAUAUAUGUUCGUUUUAGGCGUAUAAUAUACCGUUUCGAAGUUUACGACGAGACAAAUCAAAUCCAAAAUCAUGUAUUCCGUAAACGCCGUGAGUUUAUGUGCGAUAAGCAGUGGGACAGGUGCCUAUCGCACAUAAAUGCAGUGCGUUUAUGUGCGACAGGCACCUGUCCCACUUGCCUGUCUCACUAAAUUUCAUAUAUGUUUCGAAAGCCAUAACUUGAGCUAUAUAUGUUCGUUUUAGGCGUAUAAUAUACCGUUUCGAAGCUUACGACGAGACAAAUCAAAUCCAAAAUCAUGUAUUCCGUAAACGCCGUGAGUUUAUGUGCGAUAAGCAGUGGGACAGGUGCCUAUCGCACAUAAAUGCAGUGCGUUUAUGUGCGACAGGCACCUGUCCCACUUGCCUGUCUCACUAAAUUUCAUAUAUGUUUCGAAAGCCAUAACUUGAGCUAUAUAUGUUCGUUUUAGGCGUAUAAUAUACCGUUUCGAAGCUUACGACGAGACAAAUCAAAUCCAAAAUCAUGUACUCCAUAAAAUCCAUGGGUUUAUGCGCGACAAGCAAUGGAACAGGUGCCAUGGCUUUGUAAAUUUGAAAAAGUGGCAUGGCUUUGUAAAUUUGAUGAAAGUGAUGAGGGUAAUGUAGUCCAAACAUAAGGUGUUUGGCUAGUUAUGAUAGAAAAAACUUUGGGGGGUUAAAGUUGAAAAACGUAAAAGUUUUAUGGCUAAUUUUGUAAAUUUCCCAAACAUUUUCUAAACCAUAAUCUCAUAAUAUUCUACAAUACAAAAUUUCUCAAUAAUUCAACCAUAAUCUCAUGAUAUUACUCUGAGUUGGUGAUGGCUUGUUGAUUCGGGUCGCCUGGGCACUAGUUCGGGUCGCAGUCGCCUGGGUUUGCUGCUGCUGCACCGCCGCACGGGUUAGCCACUACUGUGGGUUCGAGUGGCUGCUAAUACGUUGCGCAGCUGAUGCUCCUGGGUUGCUGCCGAGUCGCGGGCUGCACUCGCGUGGCUGCGUCCCUCAAGCUCAAUCGACGAUAGAUGAACGAUGGUGGUUGUAAUCGUCGGUUCGCUGUGAGUUAAUGACAAGUUCCCUGUGAGUUAAUGACAGUGGCUACCGGCGGUUGUUUUUGUUGCUUGAUUGCUUCACUUGGUAUGGGUGGGUGAGUGUGAUUCGUGUGAGAGAGGUAGAGAGCAACGAGAGCGGCUGAGUGAGGGGAGAAUUUUUAGGGAUUUAGCCUUUAGGUUUCCGCUACUUUGUUUUUUUUUUUGGUUAUUUUCUUAAAAGUAAAUUUUCAAACCCGCAUUCGAUUCGUUUAAUUAACGAAUCAAAUCGAAUUCAUCCAUUUAUUAAACGAAUCAAUUUUUUUCAAACCCAAACCCAUUUAAUUCGCAUCGAAUCGAAUCGAAUAAACGAAUCCUGACCUAUAUUGCCACCCCUAACUGUAAUAGCAAAUCAAAUAGUAAGUUUUAUAUUUUAUUAAAGUGAUUGGUAAUUAACAAAUUAAAAAAUAAAGGUAGUUAAAUUCUAAUUAUAUACUAACACUAAAAUAUAGGUAGCACAAGCAGAGCUUAGAUCAUAUCAUGUACAUCAUAUACAUACCAUUAUAGAUCAUGUACUACUAUAUACAUACCACAUACCAUUUUAGAUAUGGAUUUUACUAUUCUCUCUCUCUCUCUCUUUUUCAAUCAUAGUACAUAUUAAGAUCUACAAAAAAAAAAAAGAAUAAAUGAAAUUUCAUGAUAGAUUUGAUGGGGUGGUAAAACUUGAACUAUAUUCAUCUUGAUAGAAUCAUCCAUCAUGCAUCAACAUUGGGGGUGAACCGUGAGGUCCUAAGAAAAUGCUUCCAUUGACCGAUGAAGUUUUGUUUGUUUUCUUUGGUUGCAAAGUCGAAUAAGGAUUACGUGCUAAAUUAAAUUUUUACUGGAUAUUGAAUCAAUAGUUAUUAAUAGGAGAAAUUGUAAAAAUUUAAAAAUUUAAAACAAUUUUAACUAUUAAUUCAAUGAUUGAUUCAAUACUCGAUAAAAAUUUAACAUAACACUAAACCCUAAUCCAGAGAAAUUUUCUGUUGGAAAACAUAUAUGCAGCGUUGAAAAUUGUGAUAUGAAUUCAUGAGCCAUUUAGGACAAUCGUAUAUUUUUGUUCAAGGUCAGAGGAACCUAGACGCUGCUGUUGCUACAUACCUUUGCAAAUAUGAUUUUAUAGAUUUCUGCCAUCUAUACUAAUUUUAUUGAAUUAUACGACUUGAUAGUGUUGGUACGAGAAGAAAAAAAAAAUGAAAAGUGCCGCAUGAGAGCAAAACUCUAUAUGUGAUUUAGAACAAAACAAACUUUUCAACUGGACAAUUGGUGAAAGGUACAUAUGCUAAAUAUUUUAUAUGAACAAUGUUUUAUUUCAUUAACAUUUAUAGUUUUUUGGCAAUCACGACAUAAUUAGGGUGAUGUAACUGGAAAUUAAAAGUAAUUUAAGCGCUAAAAGAGUGUAAUGAUCGAGGGAGCAUUACAUAUAGCAAAGUGGAUCAUGGAACAAAGUUGUGAAUUGAAGACACCAAUCUGAUUCUGAUUCUGAUUCUUCAAGGUUUGGUGGCGGCCAAGGUGUUUGCAAUAUCAAUGACAAAUCGAUACCGAACAUCAGCCUUGGCGAGCCGCUCCAUUGCCGUAUUGACAUAAUCCAUCGAAAUAACCUCAAUGUCAGCUGUUAUAUUGUGUUUUGCUGCAAAAUCAAUCAUCUCUUGCGUCUCUUUCAUUCCCCCAAUGCUGCUCCCUGACACCGUCUUCCUCCCUGCUAUGUCAUUUUAUGUUAUCAAAUGA
rnacentral:lncRNA from 1 species